rnacentral:rRNA from 1 species
GACGAACGCUGGCGGCGUGCCUAAUACAUGCAAGUCGAGCGGAAUGAUGAAGAAGCUUGCUUCUUCUGAUUUUAGCGGCGGACGGGUGAGUAACACGUGGGCAACCUACCUUGUAGAUUGGGAUAGCUCCGGGAAACCGGGGCUAAUACCGAAUAAUCCAUUUUGCUUCAUGGCGAGAUGUUGAAAGACGGUUUCGGCUGUCACUACAAGAUGGGCCCGCGGCGCAUUAGCUAGUUGGUAGGGUAAUGGCCUACCAAGGCGACGAUGCGUAGCCGACCUGAGAGGGUGAUCGGCCACACUGGGACUGAGACACGGCCCAGACUCCUACGGGAGGCAGCAGUAGGGAAUCUUCCACAAUGGACGAAAGUCUGAUGGAGCAACGCCGCGUGAGUGAAGAAGGUUUUCGGAUCGUAAAACUCUGUUGUAAGGGAAGAACACGUACGAGAGUAACUGCUCGUACCUUGACGGUACCUUAUUAGAAAGCCACGGCUAACUACGUG